rnacentral:rRNA from 1 species
AGAGUUUGAUCCUGGCUCAGGACGAACGCUGGCGGCGUGCCUAAUACAUGCAAGUCGAGCGAGCUUGCCUAGAUGAUUUUAGUGCUUGCACUAAAUGAAACUAGAUACAAGCGAGCGGCGGACGGGUGAGUAACACGUGGGUAACCUGCCCAAGAGACUGGGAUAACACCUGGAAACAGAUGCUAAUACCGGAUAACAACACUAGACGCAUGUCUAGAGUUUGAAAGAUGGUUCUGCUAUCACUCUUGGAUGGACCUGCGGUGCAUUAGCUAGUUGGUAAGGUAACGGCUUACCAAGGCAAUGAUGCAUAGCCGAGUUGAGAGACUGAUCGGCCACAUUGGGACUGAGACACGGCCCCAAACUCCUACGGGAGGCAGCAGUAGGGAAUCUUCCACAAUGGACGAAAGUCUGAUGGAGCAACGCCGCGUGAGUGAAGAAGGGUUUCGGCUCGUAAAGCUCUGUUGGUAGUGAAGAAAGAUAGAGGUAGUAACUGGCCUUUAUUUGACGGUAAUUACUUAGAAAGUCACGGCUAACUACGUGCCAGCAGCCGCGGUAAUACGUAGGUGGCAAGCGUUGUCCGGAUUUAUUGGGCGUAAAGCGAGUGCAGGCGGUUCAAUAAGUCUGAUGUGAAAGCCUUCGGCUCAACCGGAGAAUUGCAUCAGAAACUGUUGAACUUGAGUGCAGAAGAGGAGAGUGGAACUCCAUGUGUAGCGGUGGAAUGCGUAGAUAUAUGGAAGAACACCAGUGGCGAAGGCGGCUCUCUGGUCUGCAACUGACGCUGAGGCUCGAAAGCAUGGGUAGCGAACAGGAUUAGAUAUCCUGGUAGUCCAUGCCGUAAACGAUGAGUGCU